AAGCAUCAUCAGAGAAAUGCAGAUCAAAACCACAUUGACUGUCUGACACAAUUUGAGCUUGCUAUAGCAAGAAGUCUAACCUAUUCCAGUUCUCUCUUCUAUGAGACAAGCCAUUAUAUAGACUUAAACAGU
rnacentral:snoRNA from 1 species